AGAAAGGCAAACCCUGGGUUUCUAUGUCCAAUUUUAACUGUCCGUUUUAUAUGAAAUUUUUUUAUAAUUCGUAUUUUCAUUGUUGUUAGAUGAUAAAACAUGAUUAAUAUUUUAUGCGUGACUUGUUUUUUUAUUUUUUUCAUAAUUUUUUCAAAUAAGACGGAUGAUCAAACAUUAGACACGGAAACCAGGGUUUGUCUUUUU
rnacentral:pre_miRNA from 1 species